rnacentral:sRNA from 1 species
GGAAGAGCAAGCCAACUGGAGGUGGCCGCGGUCUUGAAAACCGUUAGGACUAUUAAUAGCGUCGUGUGGGUUCGACUCCCACCUCUUCCG